rnacentral:rRNA from 1 species
UACGUAGGGGGCAAGCGUUGUCCGGAAUCAUUGGGCGUAAAGAGCGCGUAGGCGGCCCUGUAAGUCCGCUGUGAAAGUCAAGGGCUCAACCCUUGGAUGCCGGUGGAUACUGCAGGGCUAGAGUCCGGAAGAGGCGAGUGGAAUUCCUGGUGUAGCGGUGAAAUGCGCAGAUAUCAGGAGGAACACCGAUGGCGAAGGCAGCUCGCUGGGACGGUACUGACGCUGAGGUACGAAAGCGUGGGGAGCAAACAGG